rnacentral:rRNA from 1 species
AACCUCCGCAAUGUGAGAAAUCGCGACGGGGGGAUCCCAAGUGCCAUUCUUAACGGGAUGGCUUUUCAUUAGUGUAAAGAGCUUUUGGAAUAAGGGCUGGGCAAGACCGGUGCCAGCCGCCGCGGUAACACCGGCAGCUCUAGUGGUAGCAGUUUUUAUUGGGCCUAAAGCGUCCGUAGCCGGUUUAAUAAGUCUCUGGUGAAAUCCUGUAGCUUAACUGUGGGAAUUGCUGGAGAUACUAUUAGACUUGAGACCGGGAGAGGUUAGAGGUACUCCCAGGGUAGAGGUGAAAUUCUGUAAUCCUGGGAGGACCGCCUGUUGCGAAGGCGUCUAACUGGAACGGUUCUGACGGUGAGGGACGAAAGUUAGGGGCGCGAACCGGAUUAGAUACCCGGGUAGUCCUAACUGUAAACGAUGCGGACUUGGUGUUGGGGUGGCUUUGAGCUGCUCCAGUGCCGAAGGGAAGCUGUUAAGUCCGCCGCCUGGGAAGUACGGUCGCAAGACUAGAAUUUAAAGGAAGU